rnacentral:rRNA from 1 species
AACAUAGCCUUUAGCAAAAAGUAUUAAAGGUCCGACCUGCCCAGUGAAUUUUUAAACGGCCGCGGUAUCCCAACCGUGCAAAGGUAGCGCAAUCACUUGUCUCCUAAAUAGAGACUAGUAUGAACGGUUUAAUGAGGACCAAUCUGUCUCCUGCAGAAAAUCUGUAAAACUGAACCCCCAGUCAAAAUGCUGGGCUGACCCUAUAAGACGAGAAGACCCUGUGGAGCUUUUAAACUAAACCACAACCCAUGUUCAACCUGUUAGAAAGUUUUUAGUUGGGGCGACUCUGGAGACAAAAACAACCCCCAGACACAGGACCAAUUUCCUAACAUGGCCAACAAGCCUAUCAUAAAACCUGACCCGGUUCUCACCGACAAACGAACCAAGUUACCCCAGGGAUAACAGCGCUAUCUUCUUUUAGAGUCCCUAUCAACAAGAAGGUUUACGACCUCGAUGUUGGAUCAGGACACCCAAAUGGUGCAGCCGCUAUUAACGGUUCGUUUGUUCAACGAUUAACAGUCCUACGUGAUCUGAGUUCAGACCGGAGAAAUCC